GAUGAACGCUGGCGGCGUGCCUAAUACAUGCAAGUCGUGCGGUAAGGCCUCUUCGGAGGUACACGAGCGGCGGACGGCUGAGUAACACGUAGGAACGUACCCCAAAGUGAGGGAUAAGCACCAGAAAUGGUGUCUAAUACCGCAUGUGCUCUAAGGAGUAAAGCUUCGGCGCUUUGGGAACGGCCUGCGCAUGAUUAGCUAGUUGGUGAGGUAAUAGCUCACCAAGGCGACGAUCAUUAGCUGGUCUGAGAGGAUGAUCAGCCAGACUGGGACUGAGACACGGCCCAGACUCCUACGGGAGGCAGCAGUAGGGAAUUUUCCACAAUGGGCGAAAGCCUGAUGGAGCAACGCCGCGUGCAGGAUGAAUGCCUUAGGGUUGUAAACUGCUUUUAUAUGUGACGAAUAUGACGGUAGCAUAUGAAUAAGGAUCGGCUAACUCCGUGCCAGCCGCCGCAGUAACAC
rnacentral:rRNA from 1 species